CAGGCGCCUCCUCUCUCCUCGCGCAAAGCGUUUUCCUGGAGCGUUUCGUGGCCUACACACGCGACGCGGCUCAACAUUCGCAACGCUAUUUGGCGAAACGUCGUGACUCGAUGCAACCCUCGCCCGUUCAUACGGAGAGGCACGUAUUUUGAUUAAGAGAAGUGAACGCGCUUCGACUACCAAAAAGGCAAGUGACAUUCAAAUCCUACCUAUUUUAUAUUAUGCAUUAGAGUUUUCAAUUAGUAUGCAUGGUAGGGUUUUUGUUUUCAAAAGUAAAGUAUAUAUGAUAUGCUUAGAUCCUAGUAGUGUGUAGCCAUCCCUCAAACAAAACUUGCUAGGAUUGUCAGAAGUGAUUUAAAAAAAAUGAUGUCAAUGCUUUGUUUCACUUGUUGGUUAAAGUGUUGUUUGAAAAUUUUAAAGUUAAUAACCUUAAUGAAACACACCUGGGUGGAAUUGGUGUGGCUUUGGAUUAUGUUGAGUGGCUACCUGGGGCUAUAUACCUGGCAGUGAAAACCAUGGUAUGUGGUGGUGACCUGGGGGGUGAGUACACUUGUGGUUGGCCACCCAGGAUUAAAGAGAUUAUUAUGUCGUCCAUGCUUUAGAUAGCUUCCAGUGCAACCACAAUACAUUAUGGGCUCUGUCUUGGCUAAGUACUUGUGGGAAACCUCGCCUAGGGUACCGCCAGCGGGUGGAGUUUGGGUACGGGCGGAUCCGGUAGGUGGAGGGGCUACUAAGGAAAAGCUUCGUAGUGACCUCGUCCUGGCUUUAAUGAAGAUGAAGAAUUUUGGCAAAAAGGCUUGGUUGUGAAUUGUGGGUAAAGAGCGCAACCUCUCGAGAGUUAAACCUAAGAUCUUAGCCGUGUCCCUGGUUAUGGACAAUUUGAGCUUCUAGGCAAGGAAUGUACGGAAGAAUCUCAUCACCUUUUCUGAAUGAUUAAAAAGUUGUGUAGAAACAAUCAUAGGACGGGAUUUUCCCAGGGCUACAUACCUGGCAGUGAAAACCAUGGUAUGUGGUGGUGACCUGAGGUUUAUCCUAGUUGAGUGGCCCCAGGGCUACAUACCUGGCAGUGAAAACCAUGGUAUGUGGUGGUGACCUGGGAGUCAUCUCGACUUAGUGCCCUGAUACGUCCAAAACGUAUCUACUUUCCCGAACACUUUUGCUAUUGUUUUGCCUCUAAUUUGUGUAUUUUGGAUACAACUAACACGGACUAACGCUGUUUUCAGCAGAAUUGCCCUGGUGUCUCGUUUUUGUGCAGAAAUUCAACUUUCAGGAAAAUCCCCGAAAUUUAUGUCGAAGGGCUUAUUUUUUCAGAAGAUUCACAGAGCCAGAAGGGCAGGCCAGGGGGGGCCACGGCCCCCACACCAUGGGCCGGCGCGGCCUAGGAGGGGGGCGCGCCGCCCUAUGGUGAGGCCGCCUCGGCCAGCCUCUGACGCCCCUCUCUGGACUAUUCAAGGGUUUCGAUCUAAAAACGCGAGACGGGAAGUCGAAGUCGCCAGAAACCAUCCAGAACACCGCCGCCAUUGCGAAACUCCGUCUCGGGACCAGAAACUCCGUUCUGGCAUCUCGCCGGGAUGGGGAAUUGGAGGAGAUCAUCGCCAUCAUCACCACCGACGCCUCUCCAUCGACCAGCCAUAUUUCCCCCAUCCAUGUGUGAGUAAUUCCCCCGCUGUAGGCUGAAGGGGAUGGUAGGGAUUGGAUGAGAUUGGUCAUGUAAUAGCAUAAGAUUGUUAGGGCAUAGUGCCUAGUAUCCGUAAUUGGUACUUUUAUGAUAUUGUUGCAACUUGUUAUGCUUAAUGCUUGUCACUAGGGCCCGAGUGCCAUGAUCUCAGAUCUGAACAUGUUAUUGUUUCAUGAUGAUAUUCAUUGUUUUAUGAUCUUA